UGGGGAAUAUUGGACAAUGGGCGCAAGCCUGAUCCAGCAAUGCCGCGUGGGUGAAGAAGGUCUUCGGAUUGUAAAGCCCUUUCGACAGGGACGAUGAUGACGGUACCUGUAGAAGAAGCCCCGGCUAACUUCGUGCCAGCAGCCGCGGUAAUACGAAGGGGGCUAGCGUUGCUCGGAAUUACUGGGCGUAAAGGGCGCGUAGGCGGCUUGCUUAGUCAGACGUGAAAAAUCCUGGGCUUAACCUGGGGACUGCGUUUGAUACGGGCAGGCUUGAGGAUGGAAGAGGCUCGUGGAAUUCCCAGUGUAGAGGUGAAAUUCGUAGAUAUUGGGAAGAACACCGGUGGCGAAGGCGGCGAGCUGGUCCAUUACUGACGCUGAGGCGCGACAGCGCGGGGGAGCAAACAGGAUUAGAUACCCUGGUAGUCCACGCCGUAAAACGAUGUGCGCUGGAUGUUGGGUGGCCUAGCCACUCAGUGUCGUAGCCAACGCGAUAAGCGCACCGCCUGGGGGAGUACGGCCGCAAGGUUGAAACUCAAAAUGAAUUGACGGGGUCAUAGCUGUUUCCU
rnacentral:rRNA from 1 species